rnacentral:rRNA from 1 species
GCUUACUGUCACACAACCCUGAGAACGCUCGAUCUCGUCUGAUUUCGGAAGCUAAGCAGAGUUUGCCCUGGUUAGUACUUGGAUGGAAGACCAACUGGAAAUACCAGGUGCUUUAAGCU